GUGCCAGCCGCCGCGGUAAUACGGAGGAUGCAAGCGUUAUCCGGAUUUAUUGGGUUUAAAGGGUGCGCAGGCGGACUAAUAAGUCAGUGGUGAAAUUUACAUGCUUAACAUGUAUCGUGCCAUUGAUACUGUUAGACUAGUAUACAAAUGACGUAGCUGGAAUGUGUUAUGUAGCGGUGAAAUGCAUAGAUAUAACACAGAACACCGAUCGUGAAGACAGGUUACGAAUUUGUUAUAGACGCUCAGGCACGAAAGCGUGGGGAUCAAACAGGAUUAGAUACCCUGGUAGUCCACGCUGUAAACGAUGAUAACUUGUUGUUGGGCACGUAGUGCUCAGUGGCUAAGCGAAAGCGAUAAGUUAUCCACCUGGGGAGUACGAUCGCAAGGUUGAAACUCAAAUAAAUUGACGG
rnacentral:rRNA from 1 species